GAUGAACGCUGGCGGCGUGCCUAAUACAUGCAAGUCGAGCGAACGGACGAGAAGCUUGCUUCUCUGAUGUUAGCGGCUGACGGGUGAGUAACACGUGGAUAACCUACCUCUAAGACUGGGAUAACUUCGGGAAACCGGAGCUAAUACCGGAUCAUAUUUUGAACCGCAUGGUUCAAAAGUGAAAGACGGUUUUGCUGUCACUUAUAGAUGGAUCCGCGCUGCAUUAGCUAGUUGGUAAGGUAACGGCUUACCAAGGCAACGAUGCAUAGCCGACCUGAGAGGGUGAUCGGCCACACUGGAACUGAGACACGGUCCAGACUCCUACGGGAGGCAGCAGUAGGGAAUCUUCCGCAAUGGGCGAAAGCCUGACGCAGCAACGCCGCGUGAGUGAUGAAGGUCUUCGGAUCGUAAAACUCUGUUAUUAGGGAAGAACAUCUGUGUAAGUAAAUGUGCACAUCUUGACGGUACCUAAUCAGAAAGCAACGGCUAACUACGUG
rnacentral:rRNA from 1 species